GAUGAACGCUGGCCGCGUGCCUAAUACAUGCAAGUCGAGCGAACAGACGAGGAGCUUGCUCCUCUGACGUUAUCGGCGGACGGGUGAGUAACACGUGGAUAACCUACCUAUAAGACUGGGAUAACUUCGGGAAACCGGAGCUAAUACCGGAUAAUAUAUUGAACCGCAUGGUUCAAUAGUUAAAGACGGUUUUGCUGUCACUUAUAGAUGGAUCCGCGCCGCAUUAGCUAGUUGGUAAGGUAACGGCUUACCAAGGCAACGAUGCGUAGCCGACCUGAGAGGGUGAUCGGCCACACUGGAACUGAGACACGGUCCAGACUCCUACGGGAGGCAGCAGUAGGGAAUCUUCCGCAAUGGGCGAAAGCCUGACGUAGCAACGCCGCGUGAGUGAUGAAGGUCUUCGGAUCGUAAAACUCUGUUAUUAGGGAAGAACAAAUGUGUAAGUAACUAUGCACGUAUUGACGGUACCUAAUCAGAAAGCCACGGCUAACUACGUG
rnacentral:rRNA from 1 species